GGCGAAUUGUCAUUUCGCAGUGUUGGAGGUUGAGUGGCCGGCCCUCCUGCUGUAAUUUAUCACGCAGCCCCAUAAAGGUUUGGGCCCCUUGUGUCAGUCAGUCAUCACUCUCCAUCAACUCAUGCCUUGUCCAGAAACUCCAAAUGUGUCAUAUACUGACCCACAGUGUCUGCCCAUCACUUCGAGGAUGAAGGUCCUCUGGUGGCUGUGAAUACACAUAUGGAACAGUGGUAACCCUCACGAGCGCACUACUGUACACCCACC